CUGAGGGUAAAGUGCUCCAGUGUGCAUUUAAGAAACCCUCCGUCUAAUUUUGGUACAAGUCAAGUCUGAAACCUAUCGCUGUUUCCUUGCGCUGCUUCCUCUGUGUACCUGGCCCACACUGAAUUGCAACGGGCCAAUUGUGUGCUGGGGACCAUGGCAGACAUCGACUUGCAAAACUCAAUUGGCUAGGAAGCCAAAAUGAUCCAAAUCAGAGUGUGGACUGGGGUCUAGAGCGUGAGAACUUUAUGUCACUUCCCAAAGCCUUCCAUGGCCAAAGUUCCAAGACUCCACAAAUGCGAGUCUUCUAGGUCUGGUUCUCGCUGAUUUUUACAUCGGACGUGUCCUUAUUUGAUUUGUUUGGACACUGGAAUUGAUGCCUUGAAACUUCAGCAUCCAUUAUGAGACCAAGGGAAAGGCAAUCAGGAACAUGGUGAACUGGAUCCUGACAGCCUUGAGACACUGAGCCAGUGCCAGCCGCUCCCCAACUUCCUGUUACGUAAAGAAAAGACCAUGUCUAUGUGUUUAAACAACAACUGAUAUAAAAGUCAAGAUUUGGGAAAGUCACAGGACUUGCGUUCGAUGCUACAUUAAGUGCAUUUUCAAGUCUGUCUGGAUCAUGGCAGAAGGUUUGGUGGGAAAGGAGAGCCAAGUGAAAGAAUGAAGUCACACAUAAAGAACUUUGAGUGGGUAGCUUGAGACGUUACAUCCCGCUGGCAGGAUAAAGGGAACAUCCUAGCUUCACUCUGCUCCUAGACUGACGCCUCCAAGAUGGGAACCUUUGGAAAAAUACGGAAUGGACCUAAGUGCCCAUCAACAAAUGUCCAUCCUUAAUGAAGGAAAGCAUGUCAUUUGUGACCACCUGGAAGAACCUAGAACUCAUUAUGCUUCGUGAAGUAACCAGGCACAAGAAGACAAAUACUGCAUGACCUCACACACAUGUGGCAUCUGUGGAGAUCGAGUGUACAGUAGGUAGUAGAAUGCAGGUUACCAGAAGCUGGGCUUGGGGAUGAGAAAUGCUGACCGAAGAGCACAAAAUUUCAUUUAGAUGGGAAGAAUAUGUUUUCAAAAUCUAGUGUACGGCAUGGUAAUUAUAGACGAUAAUAAUAAUAGACUGCAUAUCUCAAAACAAUUAAAGAAAAAGGUAUGUUAA